UACGUAGGGUGCAGGCGUUAAUCGGAAUUACUGGGCGUAAAGCGUGCGCAGGCGGUUUCUUAAGUCAGAUGUGAAAGCCCCGGGCUUAACCUGGGAACUGCGUUUGAAACUGGGAGACUUGAGUGUGGCAGGAGGGGGGUGGAAUUCCGACGUGUAGCAGUGGAAAUGCGUAGAUAUGUGGAGGAACACCAAUGGCGAAGGCAGCCCCUGGGUCAACACUGACGCUCAUGCACGAAAGCGUGGGGAGCAAACAGG
rnacentral:rRNA from 1 species